AUAGUAGGAAUAAAGUAGAUGUUUUUUAAAGUAAUCUGAUUAAUAUUGAAACAAAGUGUUUGCACAUUUCUAGGUUUUAGAAAAAGUCCGAUGAGAUCUUAUUAUUUGUAUGGUUGUGUGGCAAUAGCCUUGGCAGUGGUCUACUCAGUGCCAAAAGCUCCUUGAUUCCGGAUAGCAGGCAUCUGUGACUUCAGAAAUCUUUCGCUGCUGUGAAUUCUUUGGCUAAGUUUGGCGCUCACUGUGAAGAGCUUCUCCCAAAUAUUUUAGUCCUUCUGCAGAGGAGCUUCCAGGAUUGUGAUGAUGAAGUGAGAGCAACCUACUAUUUAAAUAUCCUAAAUCAGAAACAAAAAGGACUCCCAAUUCAUCUUGAAUGAUGUUCCCAUCAUUGGGAAGUCCAAAGAUAAAGUUGCUGCUUCACGUCAUGAUACAUUUGCAGGUGAUG